AACGAACGCUGGCGGCAUGCCUAACACAUGCAAGUCGAACGAGACUUUCGGGUCUAGUGGCGCACGGGUGCGUAACGCGUGGGAACCUGCCCUUAGGUUCGGAAUAACUCCCCGAAAGGGGUGCUAAUACCGGAUAAUGUCUUCGGACCAGGGGGGGAUGGGGGGGGGAUGGGCCCGCGGGGGGGGGGGGGGUGGGUAGGGGAAAAGCCUACCAAGGCGACGAUCCAUAGCUGGUCUGAGAGGAUGAUCAGCCACACUGGGACUGAGACACGGCCCAGACUCCUACGGGAGGCAGCAGUGGGGAAUAUUGGACAAUGGGCGAAAGCCUGAUCCAGCAAUGCCGCGUGAGUGAUGAAGGCCUUAGGGUUGUAAAGCUCUUUUACCCGGGAUGAUAAUGACAGUACCGGGAGAAUAAGCUCCGGCUAACUCCGUG
rnacentral:rRNA from 1 species